GUAGGUGAGACAGCAGGUAGACAACGCUCUUAAACAUUUUUACUUCUUUUCACUUUUGGCUUUUCCAUGGCAGUGAACAACAUAGAAGAACAUAACAGGUGCAUAUAUGUAUAUAUACAUUAAAGUAAAUUAGGUGGAUUUACUUUUUCACAUCUAAGCAAAGGGGCAUUUAGGGAAAAGUUGUACAAAACUAUGUAUGCUAUGUUUAUUUGCCUAUAAUUUCAUUUACACAUCAUCAUAAGCCUAAACCUUUCGUUUGUCACUAGAACUUGAGUGUUGAAAAUAGUUCCUUAAUUAUUCUGGGCACCGUGAACAUUUCUUACAAUCAGAUUAUUUCCUCCCAGCAUAGAAUAUAGCUAAACAUGUAUAAUAUGUAAUAUAAAUAUGAUAAGCAGUGUCACUAGAGCUCAUCUUUGAUUAAGAAUUUAUUUUACUCUCCUCUUAACAAGGAUUGACUGGAUCACAGGCCAUUUCAUUUAGGAGGCUGUAUGUGAGAGCUUUGUUGAUUUUUAAUUUUCCUCCAUUGAUUUUCUGCAUCCAGAGAGCACUUGUUCUCUAAUGGCUCUCUGUGUUGGUGUUUGCUUGCAAAUUGAAGUAAAAGAUAAAUGGCUUUCAGGGUAAUACCUCUCCAAGGGCUUCCACUUGAGGGUUGGUGGCUGUUAGUAGAGCUGCAGUGUGUUCAGAAAAGUUCUGUGCUCAGAGAAAGACAUUCCUGAGUUGCAACAUGGUGAAAUUAGCUUAUUCCUUGCCCUGGUGUGACAACAGUUAUCAAGGUCUAAGAAACUAAAGACUUAGUCUGGAAUGAAGAGGAGCUGCAGAUCCUGGGAUCCUUUCUCAGUUCUUUGCUCAGUCACUCUGUCUUCCAGAUGGAUGUUAAGGACAGUAUUUCUUUUAGUCCCCAGCCAUGCAGUGCCUGGCAUCGGUAGGAAUUCAAAAACUGGAAGAAUGGAGAUCUGAAUUUCAGUGCAGCUUUCAGGGUGACCUCUGCUGAGAUGAAAGGACUAAAACCGCUGUGAAUUUUCCUGUUCCUGGAGCAACAUCUUCAGCAAUGAUGGGCAGGCAAUUCAAUGCUCUGAAAGCAAUUGCACACUCCUGAAAAUAAUCCAAAAUAGUCCUGACCAGGCCUGGCAGAGUUCUUAGUUUUCUCUGCCCUUCCUGUAUUGCUUAUGAAUCAGAGCAUCAAUGUUAAAUUGUAAAAUGCAGGAAUAUAUGUAAUGACCAUAUUAGUUUUACAGACUGAUAAAAGGUGUCUUAUUUUUUUCUUGAGGAAUUAAAGGGGUACUGUAAUGUAUUUACAUUCCUGCUUGUCUGUUCAGUGGGGGCUCCUCCAGAAGAGCUUGAAUCUGGGGCUCUGUUUCUUCACUGCCUUGCUUAGUGUCAUUUAAACAUGCAAAGUAGUUUAAAGUGCUGCCAAUAGUGAGGGCUGGAUUUAAGCUUCUGUUACGAGAAGCAAUAGGAGAAGGUUGUAAGCAAAAUUAGACUGUUUCACAAUCCAUAGGUUAAUCCAAGUGCUUUGAAAUGAGUGUGUUGUGUGUGUCUGUUUAUCAGCAAGAGAUUCUGUAGGAGAGUUUUCAUGGAAAUGAGCAAGGGUACUAUUAGGGAAUGGUCCUGGAAUAAGAAACAGGUUGAUAAAAUAAUGAAUGUUUUCCAUAAUAGUUCUUUUUAAUAAGAUGCCUAACAAGGGAGUUGAGGGAGGGCAUUGGAGUGGUCUGAAACUGAAAAUCAAGCAUUUUUAUGGAAAUAGCCUCAUUAGAGCUGCCUGUUAAAGAAGUGCAACUGUUUUUCUAUGAACAGGAUAUUCAUUCAAUGAUUGAAAUAUGGUUCUUAAAAAAUACAUCCUGUCAGUUUUA